GACGUAGGGCGCGAGCGUUGUCCGGAUUUAUUGGGCGUAAAGAGCUCGUAGGCGGCUUGUCGCGUCGACUGUGAAAUCCCGCGGCUCAACUGCGGGUCUGCAGUCGAUACGGGCAGGCUAGAGUUCGGUGAGGGGAGACUGGAAUUCCUGGUGUAGCGGUGAAAUGCGCAGAUAUCAGGAGGAACACCGAUGGCGAAGGCAGGUCUCUGGGCCGAUACUGACGCUGAGGAGCGAAAGCGUGGGGAGCGAACAGG
rnacentral:rRNA from 1 species